rnacentral:rRNA from 1 species
UACGUAGGGCGCAAGCGUUGUCCGGAAUUAUUGGGCGUAAAGAGCUCGUAGGCGGUCUGUCGCGUCGGAUGUGAAAGCUCGAGGCUUAACCUCGGGUCUGCAUCCGAUACGGGCAGACUAGAGGCAGGUAGGGGAGACUGGAAUUCCUGGUGUAGCGGUGAAAUGCGCAGAUAUCAGGAGGAACACCCGUGGCGAAGGCGGCCCCCUGGGCCGUACCUGACGCUGAGGCGCGAAGGCCAGGGGAGCAAACGGG